AUGAUAGUUCCAUUUUUGUGCAAUCUUGCAUUAUAAGAAAAUUGCACAAUAGUUGCGCCAUUUCAACUAAUGGGGCCAGAAUCAUGUUAUAGCCAAUAUAGGUAAGGAAAGUUCAUGUUCUACAAAUAGUCAAAAUUCUUCAGUCGUGUUAAAGCCACUUUGUGUUGAAGAAAUGUGUUAUAGCAGAAUCAACUGUACAGUAAAGGUGUUGUUGGGAUUCUCUCAUGAUUUUAAAGUCUCUUUUAAAAAAGAAAGCUUUCCUUGGAGCAGCUGAGACCUGGAGCAGAGCACCUGGGGGCUAGAGUGGAGCGGGUUUAGGACCCGGAGUGGAAUCGGGGCGCUUAUUGGACUGGGGAUGUGUGCGAGCAGUCAGCGGCUUACGAAGCCAGUCGAGGACGUAUGGAAGUUCCGGUGCUGAAACACUGCAAAAUAAUGUUUAUCUGUAAUUUGCUUGUCUGACUGAUGUUUAUCCUUUCGAUUUUGUCUUGUUUUCCUACUUAUACUAUGAAUCACUGUUAGGCAAUGUAAUUUUCUGUUUUUUUUCUUAAAUACUUUGUACCUAAGAUGGUGCUGUGAGGGUAACAUUGUAAACUUUUCACGGUACUCAAGUACAUAAAUACAUGUGACAAUAAACCUAAUUCUAAUUCCA